GGCUGUUGAGUAGGAGGGUCAGCAUAGGGGUUUUCCAGCUUGAGUAGUCUGAUGAUCACCUUGAUGCUUAUAGAUCAUAUCGAUGGUAUCCCGAAAGAAUCCCAUUUGUUGAUGAUAUUCACAUCAAUCUUAUUUUCCCGAGCAUCGAGAAUGAUCUUUGACUCUUCAGCAAGAGACACACCAAAAUGCUAAAAAAAUGGUAGUUAUGAUGAUAACAUAAGG
rnacentral:lncRNA from 1 species